rnacentral:tRNA from 1 species
GCCUGGGUGGCUCAGUCAUUUGAGUGUCUGACUUCAGCUCAGGUCAUGAUCUCACGGUUCGUGAGUUCAAGCCCCACAUCAGGCU